rnacentral:lncRNA from 1 species
CAUAAGAGAUAGAAGAUUUUUUAAUUAUUAUUAAAAUCAAAAGCAAAUUAUCUCGUCCAUCAAAUCUCAAUUUCUUGGACGUAAGAAUUUCUUCAUUUGCGAAUGUUUUCUACCGAAAAAAUAAGUCAUAUGAUGUUAAUGAUUAGAAGAAUUAACGUGAAUGACGAAAUUAACUUAUUUCUCCUAAUCUGUUAUUUCACAAUCCCAAAUAUUUCUGGUUAAGAGGUGACUCGUGAUGUGUUAACAGGUCACUGAAGAACUCGUUAUUUGUGAGAGAACCCAAAGAGUUUUGUCUCCGUUUAGAGAUUAAGAGAUUAUCGCCGUUUAAAUAAACGUCGAAUUUCUUUUCGAGCUUUCCUCUAGUAGCUUCCAAAUGAAUCACGUUUGAGCUAUGGCCGCAACAUUUACGUCGCGUAUAUUAUUACGCCAUUUAAUGUUCGCAGUUCGUACAAGCCACGAGCACGCAUUCUUUUUAUCGCGAUCACUUUUACGCUAUCAGUGAAGCCGCGUUUACACAACGUAUUCACAUUCAUCGAAGGAUGUGCCAUUAAAAGAAAGUACAAUGUUUCGUGACCUAAAUAGAACAAUAGGCGAAACUUCCAUGCGCGUGCUUCGGCUACACAGACAGCGGCGGUAAUCCUCGAGAUUUUUGCGAGCUACGUCUGCCAGCUACACCUAUAGCAGCUUGUGAGCUACGCAUGGAAAAAUAUUUUCCAUCAUCUUUCUUAAAGUACCUGUCCUUUCCAACUCUUGCACCUGUACCGGAUGUGGCAAUUGCGCGAUACAGGCGUACAGUGACUCACGAAAGUAUUUCGGUGCUUGUUAAUUUGCUGCAAAACUGAACAAAGAUAUUUGAAGUCCAUAAUCUACGUGAAGCACCGAAGUCUCUUUCAUUAAAAAUAAAACUCUCUAGAACUGACUACACAUAGCCUGAAGGUCAGAUGAAAGCAUCGUGGAACAGAGUAUGUUAAAUAAUCAGAAAUGCUAUAUAAUUUUAAUUGAAUAUAACACGAGAAAGAGCAUUAUUGUGGGACACUAUAAGAGGGAAAUAUUUCUCCAUACCUCACGGCUAUAGAACAAAAUACAGUACAAUAGAAUUCCAUUUAUUUGAACUUGAUAGGAAGCAGACAUAAUCAAAGUUCAUUGAUAUCACUUCCCAUUCGAAUAAUAUGAAUUAAUAUUCAAAUUAAUGGAUUCAUUUGGAUUAGUGGAUUCAGUUAAACGGGCAUUAACUAUGUUCCAAUAAAUACAGUUUAGAUAAAUGGACGGAGAGAAUUGGAACCACUCCAAGAGAUUUAUCUGUGGAUAACGUACUUAAAAUAUUAAACUAGAUAGAUGCGAUUAAAGAAUGUUCGUAGAAAGCACUGUAAGUGGCAAAAUUGACGUACCAAUGAGAAUGCCGUAGUAUUUAACUUAAAUUUUAUUUUUUAAAUAAUUUCAGUGCAAUUUCCCUUUCUAAAUAAUUAUUAACAACGCUGAAAGAUAGGGUAACAGCUUCACCUCUAUUGAAAAUAAUAUAGCUGCUAAUAGACAUUGGUUAAUGGCCUUUUUACUUUUAUAAUGGAACAUCGAGGUUUCUUUACAACUAAGAAGUGGCUCAUACAGGCUUUUCUACAGAUACACUUUUCUUCUUCGUGAAAUUGGAUCGUGUUAAUGCAGAAGAUUUCUUUUCCUUCUGAAAAGCUUGUCUCCUGCCUCUUGCAAUGUUUUCCAGAAGCGUUCUUCAAUUAUGUAAUUAAUUCUAUA